rnacentral:rRNA from 1 species
UGAGGAACAUGACCCUCGGCGGGGGAUAGCCGGCCCAACAGCCGGGUAAUACCGCGUACGACCACAUGGGGACAUCCCUGAGUGGUGAAAGCAGCAAUGCGCCGAUGGAGUGCCUCGCGGCCUAUCAGCUUGCUGGUGAGGUAACGGCUCACCAAGGCGACGACGGGUAGCUGGUCUGAGAGGAUGGCCAGCCACAUUGGGACUGAGACACGGCCCAGACUCCG